AUCAACGCUGGCGGCGUGCCUAACACAUGCAAGUCGAACGAGAAAAGCGGGGGGCAACCCCGUGAGUACAGUGGCGAACGGGUGAGUAACACGUGACUAACCUGCCUUCGAGCGGGGGAUAACCCCGGGGAAACCGGGGCUAAUACCGCAUAACAUCCCAAGGUGAAACUCCUUGUGAUCAAAUGCGCAAGCAGCUUGAAGAGGGAGUCGCGCCUGAUUAGCUAGUUGGUGAGGUAACGGCUCACCAAGGCGAUGAUCAGUAGCCGGCCUGAGAGGGCCGCACGACCACACACUGGAACUGAAACAACGGUCCAGACUCCUACGGGAGGCAGCAGUGGGGAAUUUUGCGCCAAUGGGGGGAAACCCUGACGCAGCAAAACGCCGCGUGGAGGAUGAAGUCCCCUUGGGGACGUAAACUCCUUUCGACCGGGGACGAAUAAAUGACGGUACCGGUGGAAGAAGCCCCGGCUUAACUUCGUGCCAGCAGCCGCGGUAAUACGAGGGGGGCGAGCGUUGUUCGGAAUUAUUUGGGCGUAAAGGGGCGCGUAGGCGGUGCGGUAAGUCACCUGUGAAACCCCCGGGGCUCAACUCGGGGCCUGCAGGCGAAAACUGCCGUGCUGGAGUGCGGAAGAGGUGAGUGGAAUUCCCGGUGUAGCGGUGAAAAUGCGUAGAUAUCGGGAGGAACACCUGUGGCGAAAAGCGGCUCACUGGACCGCAACUGACGCUGAGGGCGCGAAAGCUAGGGGAGCAAACAGGAUUAGAUACCCUGGUAGUCCUAGCCCUAAACUAUGGAUGCUUGGUGUGGUGGGUACCCAAUCCCACCGUGCCGCAGCUAACGCGUUAAGCAUCCCGCCCUGGGGAGUACGGUCGCAAGGCUGAAACUCAAAGGAAUUGACGGGGGGCCCGCACAAGCGGUGGAGCAUGUGGUUUCAAUUCGACGCAACGCGAAGAACCUUACCUGGGCUCGAAGCGUGGUGGACCGGGGUGGAAACAUCCCUUUUCCGCAAGGACCGCCACGGAGGUGCUGCAUGGCUUGUCGUCAGCUCGUGUCGUGAGAUGUUGGGUUAAGUCCCGCAACGAGCGCAACCCUUAUCCCUAGUUGCCAUCGGGUCAAGCCGGGCACUCUAGUGAAAACCGCCCCGGAUAACGGGGAGGAAGGUGGGGAUGACGUCAAGUCCUCAUGGCCUUUAUGUCCAGGGCUACACACGUGCUACAAUGACCGGUACAAAACCGUCGCAAAAACCCGCGAGGGGGAGCUAAUUCGGAAAAAAAGCCGGCCCCAGUUCGGAUUGCAGUCUGCAACUCGACUGCAUGAAGCUGGAAUCGCUAGUAAUCGCAGAUCAGCACGCUGCGGUGAAUACGUUCCCCGGGGCCUUGUACACACCGCCCGUCACAUCACGAAAGUGGGCUGUACUAGAAGUCGGUGCGCUAAAACCGCAAGGAGGCAGCCGCCCAAGGUAUAACUCAUGAUUGGGGUG
rnacentral:rRNA from 1 species